rnacentral:tRNA from 1 species
CCUGGUGGCUCAGAGGUUAAAGCAUCUGCCUGCAAUGCAGAGGACCUGGGUUUGAUCCCUGAGUCAGGA